rnacentral:rRNA from 1 species
GAUGAACGCUAGCUACAGGCUUAACCCAUGCCAGUCGAGGGACCGGGUCACGGGUUAGUAACACGUAUCCAACAUGCCCUUUACUCGGUGAUAGCCUUUCGAAAGAAAGAUUAAUACCCGAUAUAAAGGAUGGGGAUGCGUUCCAUUAGGUUGUUGGUGAGGUAACGGCCCACCAAGCCUUCGAUGGAGAGGGGUUCUGAGAGGAAGGUCCCCGACAUUGGAACUGAGACACGGUCCAAACUCCUACGGGAGGCAGCAGUGAGGAAUAUUGGUCAAUGGGCGCUAGCCUGAACCAGCCAAGUAGCGUGAAGGAUGAAGGCUUAUGGGUCGUAAACUUCUUUUAUAUAAGAAUAUGUAUUAUAUGAAUAAGGAUCGGCUAACUCCGUGCCAGCAGCCGCGGUAAUUC